CAAGGCAGGAUCAACAGCACAGAGGCCAGUGUAGGUGGAGCAGAAAGGCUGAUGGAAAGAGAGGGAAAGAGGCCAGAGAAGUAACAGGACCAGGUCACAGGACCUUGAAGGCCAUCAUAAGGACUUAUUUAUUUAUUUAUUUAUUUAUNNNNNNNNNNGCUUGUAAUCCCAGCACUUUGGGGAUCACUUAAGGCCAGGAGUUUGAGACAAGCCUGGCCAACAUGGCAAAAGCCAGUCUCUGAUAAAAAUACAAAAAUUAGCCAGGUGUGGUGGCACCAUCACAUAGCUAGGAGCUCAGAUUCAUCCACACCCUUUUCACUCCUAGAAUGUUUAACUUUUGUUCUGUCUUCUCUGGUCAUGAAGCCACUCUGCUGAGCAUUCUUUUCUCAUCUUGUUUUGAUACUAUUCUUCCUUUUCUUUUAGCCAGCAGCCUGCAAGCCAUAGUCAUCUGCAUUGCAGUCUAACCAGUAGGUUAUGAAAAAAGAAAAAACACACAUAAUAGCAAGUUAAGUGGAUUCUAACAUUUAGAGGAAUCUAUAAUGAUUAGAAAGCCCCUUAUUAUGUCACUUCUCUAUCUUCACAUGGAGUCAUUAGCAUUCUUGGCCACCGCAAAGCAUGAGCAGAAACUCAGUGAAACUCCUGCUGCUUGACAGAGGGAGGAAUGCUUCAUCCCAGAUAUUCAUACUAUACCAAAGGAUGGAAUGGAGACUUCUGGAUUCCUACCUCCGAGAUCCAGUACGACAUAAGCCAUUUGGGGCGGGGCCUGGAUCCCUAAGGACAAGAAGCUUUUAAGCCAAGCAGAAAACAAACAAAACAAAACACAACAACACAGACACAGAUGCAGACAUGAAUAAAUAAAGCAGACAAAUCCACAUAUGGGAAGGCUCCCC
rnacentral:lncRNA from 1 species